GCAAGUCGAGCGAGACCUUCGGGUCUAGCGGCGGACGGGUGAGUAACACGUGGGAUAUCUGCCUCGGGGUGGGGGAUAGCCAGGGGAAACCCUGAUUAAUACCGCAUAUGGCCUACGGGUCAAAGUCUUCGGACGCCUUGAGAGGAGCCCGCGGCCCAUUAUUUAAUCCUAGUUGGUGGGGUAAUGGCCUACCAAGGGUACGAUGGGUAGCUGGUCUGAGAGGACGAUC
rnacentral:rRNA from 1 species